GAUGAACGCUGGCGGCGUGCCUAAUACAUGCAAGUCGAGCGGUAAGGCUCCUACUCUGUGUUUAAGGAAAUUUGAACAUAGGGUUGGAGUACACGAGCGGCGGACGGCUGAGUAACACGUAGGAACGUACCCCAAAGUGAGGGAUAAGCACCGGAAACGGUGUCUAAUACCGCAUGUGGUCUUCGGACUAAAGCUCCGGCGCUUUGGGAACGGCCUGCGCAUGAUUAGCUUGUUGGGAGGUAAUGGCUCACCAAGGCGACGAUCAUUAGCUGGUCUGAGAGGAUGAUCAGCCAGACUGGGACUGAGAACGGCCCAGACUCCUACGGGAGGCAGCAGUAGGGAAUUUUCCACAAUGGGCGAAAGCCUGAUGGAGCAACGCCGCGUGCAGGAUGAAUGCCUUCGGGUUGUAAACUGCUUUUAUCUGUGACGAAUUUGACGGUAGCAGAUGAAUAAGGA
rnacentral:rRNA from 1 species